AACACGUGGGGAACCUGCCCCAUAGUCUGGGAUACCACUUGGAAACAGGUGCUAAUACCGGAUAAGAAAGCGGAUCGCAUGAUCAGCUUUUAAAAGGCGGCGUAAGCUGUCGCUAUGGGAUGGCCCCGCGGUGCAUUAGCUAGUUGGUAAGGUAAAGGCUUACCAAGGCGAUGAUGCAUAGCCGAGUUGAGAGACUGAUCGGCCACAUUGGGACUGAGACACGGCCCAAACUCCUCGGGAGGCAGCAGAG
rnacentral:rRNA from 1 species